GGAAGGAUCAUUUGCACUUGGUUUUAAAAACCAAUUUCAAAAGUUUUUAAGGAUUGCUUGGUGGAUAGUUCAACUCAAUUGUCGACGAAGGUCUAUGCAAAAAUAGAAUACUUGAUUUGCGAGAUUUUGUGAAAGUAACAUACCUAACACUUAUGUAUAGUCAAUUUAUCAUAAAUUUGAAUUUUACAAAUUCAUUAUGGAAUUUAACGAUUCGAACAAAACAAAAUCAUUGUUUAUGAUAAAUUGUAGAUUACUCGCUGAAUUUAAGCAUAUUAUUAAGCGAAGGAAAAGAAAUAAAAUUAGAUUCAAUUAGUAAUGGCGAAUGAACAUUGAAAAUUUCUUGUUAAUUAUCUAAAUGUUCGUAACAAGUUGAAAAGCUUGUACAUAGAAGGUGAAAUACCUGUAGCGAACGUUUGAUAUUAAUAUUUUUUGAGUAGCAGUGAGUCAUAUCUCACUGUAAAUAGUAAUUACACAAUUACUAAAAAUAAAUACAACAUUGAGUUUGAUAGCGAAAAAGUACCGUGAGGGAAAACUGAAAAGAACUUUGAGAAGAGAGUUAAAAGUACUUGAAACCAAACAAAAACAAUUUUUCAAACUUACUAUAUUUUAUAUUAACUGAAAGGAUAAUAAAAGUGUGUGUUUGAAUAUCCCGUCUUGAAACACGGACCAAGGAGUCUAAAGGGUACGCAAGUCAAAAUAGGCGUAAGGAAACUAAAGUAGGUUGCUUUUGUUUAGACAUUAGUAAUACAUUUAGCGUAAACUUUAGGACCCGAAAGGUGGUGAACUAUUCCUGAGUAAGGUGAAGUCAGGGGAAACUCUGAUGGAGGCUUGUAGCAAUACUGACGUGCAAAUCGUUUGCAGAACUUGGGUAUAGGGGCGAAAGACUAAUCGAACCACCUAGUAGCUGGUUCCCUU
rnacentral:misc_RNA from 1 species